AGCGAACGCUAGCGGGCGGCUUAACACAUGCAAGUCGAGCGGGGGAUUUCGGUCCUCAGCGGCGGACGGGUGAGUAACACGUAGGAAUCUGCCUUUUGGUGGGGGAUAGCCGGGGGAAACCCCGAUUAAUACCGCAUAUGGCCUAUGGGUCAAAGCCGUAAGGCGCCAGAAGAUGAGCCUGCGUCCGAUUAUUUAGUCCUUGUUGGUGGGGUAACGGCCUACCAAGGGUACGAUCGGUAGCUGGUCUGAGAGGACGAUCAGCCACACUGGAACUGAGACACGGUCCAGACUCCUACGGGUGGCUG
rnacentral:rRNA from 1 species